rnacentral:misc_RNA from 1 species
GUUGGUGAACCAGCGGAGGGAUCAUUACCGAGUUUACAACUCCCAAACCCCUGUGAACUUAUACCUUUACUGUUGCUUCGGCGGGUCAUUGCCCCGGGGAAACGACAGGUGUGGCCGUCAGGUCCCCCUGCCCGACCCCCCGGAAACAGGCGCCCGCCGGGGGACUCAAACUCUUAUGUAUUUUUGUUUACUGUAUACUGUCUGAGUAAAAAUUACAAAUGAAUCAAAACUUUCAACAACGGAUCUCUUGGUUCUG